rnacentral:rRNA from 1 species
GAUGAACGCUGGCGGCGUGCCUAAUACAUGCAAGUCGAGCGAACGGACGAGAAGCUUGCUUCUCUGAUGUUAGCGGCGGACGGGUGAGUAACACGUGGAUAACCUACCUAUAAGACUGGGAUAACUUCGGGAAACCGGAGCUAAUACCGGAUAAUAUUUUGAACCGCAUGGUUCAAAAGUGAAAGACGGUCUUGCUGUCACUUAUAGAUGGAUCCGCGCUGCAUUAGCUAGUUGGUAAGGUAACGGCUUACCAAGGCAACGAUGCAUAGCCGACCUGAGAGGGUGAUCGGCGACACUGGAACUGAGCCACGGUCCAGACUCCUACGGGAGGCAGCAGUAGGGAAUCUUACGCAAUGGGCGAAAGCAUGACGGAGCAACGCCGCGUGAGUGAUGAAGGUCUUCGGAUCGUAAAACUCUGUUAUUAGGGAAGAACAUAUGUGUAAGUAACUGUGCACAUCUUGACGGUACCUAAUCAGAAAGCCACGGCUAACUACGUG